rnacentral:rRNA from 1 species
GAUGAACGCUGGCGGCGUGCUUAACACAUGCAAGUCGAACGGUGAACACGGAGCUUGCUCUGUGGGAUCAGUGGCGAACGGGUGAGUAACACGUGAGCAACCUGCCCCUGACUCAGGGAUAAGCGCUGGAAACGGCGUCUAAUACUGGAUAUGUUACGUGACCGCAUGGUCUGCGUUUGGAAAGAUUUUUCGGUUGGGGAUGGGCUCGCGGCCAAUCAGCUCGUUGGUGAGGUAAUGGCUCACCAAGGCGUCGACGGGUAGCCGGCAUGGGAGGGUGACCGGCCACAAUGGGAUUGAGACACGGCCCAGACUCCUACGGGAGGCAGCAGUGGGGAAUAUUGCACAAUGGGCGAAAGCCUGAUGCAGCAACGCCGCGUGAGGGAUGACGGCCUUCGGGUUGUAAACCUUUUUUAGCAGGGAAGAAGCGAAAGUGACGGUACCUGCAGAAAAAGCGCCGGCUAACUACGUG